rnacentral:lncRNA from 1 species
UUGAACUUCUUUCUAAAACUUUUCUCGAGUUUGGGUUUGUUCUUGAUCAACAAUAUGUUCUCACAAGUGGGAUUCCCUGAUGGUCAAACAGAGAAACAAAAGGCUCACCUGGACCAUGGAUGCUGACUAAGUCUCUGUGAUUUCAGAAUUGAGGCAGGUGGGAGUGACCUAUAUAGAAUUAUUCAGCACAGAGAGAAUCUGGAAAUCACCAUGAGGGUCAUUGCACAAUUUGGAACCUGGCAAGAGUAUCUACAGGAAGAAAUACCUCUGCAAAUCUGCCUUAGAAACAAGUGUCUGGAUCCUUUUGGAGGAGAGCUUCGGUGCCAGAUUUAAGACAAAACUGGAAGUUUAAAUCCAAGUCUUCCUUGUUUCAGGGCCUUAUAAAAUUACUGGUUAUAAUAUUUCAGUCUAUGGCUGGGAACACCUUAAGGGUCCCACAAAGAUGCUACAUUGGAGAUCUAAAUUACUCCUGUGAAGUGAUAUAAAAACAAUAACAAGCAUGUAUGCAGCACUUUAAAAAUGAGGAGGACCAGGUACAUCAAUUGAUACAAUUUUUUUUAGAUACUUGAAAUUCAAAAAAAGAUUAGGUAUUUGUACUUGAUACUUCAUGAUUUUUCUUCUAUGUCUUUGUUAUCAAUAAAAAGACUUUUCAAAUAACA